rnacentral:rRNA from 1 species
CCUACGGGGCGCUGCAGUGGGGAAUAUUGCACAAUGGGGGAAACCCUGAUGCAGCGACGCCGCGUGAGUGAAGAAGUAUUUCGGUACGUAAAGCUCUAUCAGCAGGGAAGAAAAUGACGGUACCUGACUAAGAAGCCCCGGCUAACUACGUGCCAGCAGCCGCGGUAAUACGUAGGGGGCAAGCGUUAUCCGGAUUUACUGGGUGUAAAGGGAGCGUAGACGGCAGCGCAAGUCUGGAGUGAAAUCCCAUGGCUUAACCAUGGAACUGCUUUGGAAACUGUGCAGCUAGAGUGCAGGAGAGGUAAGCGGAAUUCCUAGUGUAGCGGUGAAAUGCGUAGAUAUUAGGAGGAACACCAGUGGCGAAGGCGGCUUACUGGACUGUAACUGACGUUGAGGCUCAAAAGCGUGGGGAGCAAACAGGAUUAGAUACCCUUGUAGUC